GCGGGUGUAGCUCAAACUGGUGGAGCAGUUAACUUGUUUAAUCUGUGCCGAACGGCAUAGAUGGUUAGAAGGUCGAAGGUUCGAAUCCUUCCACCCGCU
rfam:Microgenomates (Woesebacteria) bacterium GW2011_GWA1_43_12 TV66_C0001, whole genome shotgun sequence.